UUUUGAACCUGGAAUGGCCUAUGUUGCACUCAGCCGCACAACCUCACUUAAAGGACUCUACAUCACAGACUUUGAUGAAAGGAAAAUCUAUGCUGAUCCUGCCAUCACAGAUGCACUCAAAAAUAUGAGACAUGCAUCAUUUGAGAAUGCAAGACCACUGUUGCAAUUCUUAAAAUCAGUUGUUCCCACAGUCCCCACGUUGACAAUUAUCCAUCACAAUGCACAAGGUCUCCCAACUCACAUGGAGGACAUGAGAUGCCACCAUGAACUCAGCCUUGCUGAUGUUUUAUGCAUAACAGAAACUCACUUGUCUGGAUCAUCAGUUUCUCCCCGCUUCCAGCUCGAACAGUACAACAUGGCCACACGCAACAGACACGUCUCUUACACAAACCAUACAGACAUGGCAAAGGUAAAUGGCGGUGGAGUUGCAAUGUACUACAAAACAGUUCUUACAGCAGAGUCUCGAAAAUACCUGCAAAAUGUGACUGACCUUGAAUUUGUUGUUAUCAAGGUUGAAUCGCCAGUCACAGCUUUGAUAGCAACUGUAUACAGGCCACCAAAUUACAGCCACGUGAGGUUUUACCACAAAUGCAAUGUCUUUUGGACUCAUUGGAAAUGAUGAAUUGCCAACCAAUUAUUGUUUGUGGAGACUUCAAUGAGGACCUUAUGAGCAGAGGAAAAAACCCAUCCAAGAACUGUUUCAGUCAAGAGGAUAUGCACAACUUAUUACUGCUGCAACUACCGAAAAACACACAUUGAUUGAUCACCUUUACAUAUCACAGCCAAACGCCUGCCUCCAAUCAGGUGUUCUGAAUACAUAUCACAGUUAUCACAACCCCAUUUAUUGUGUAAUUCACUAACACAAAAUGACUGCAAGGUUGUGAGGGAUAUGGACUUGCCAAGUGAUCUUAGUGUCUUUGCAACUGAGCACACUCUACCACCAACAAGGACAGCUCACCAGUGGGAGCUGAUAGAUAAGACUGCUCUCAUCCAUUGAAGAGCUGACCAGAAACGUGAACAGAGAGACUGCAACUGCACCUGAUGGGAUCCCUGCCAUAACAGAUGUGUUCUGUCCAGUGAAGGCAGUGGAGAAGCCCUACACUGAUCUUGAAACUGUGCCACGCUAGUAGAGACCGGCUACAAGGAUGGGCAGCUGUUUUCGCAAAGUCAGCCAACCACUUGCUUCCAAAUGACCCUUAUCCAGAAGUAUCCGUGAGUGCCUCAUCAACAGAAACUAAAGUGGAGACCUACCUCUCAGAGAAA
ensembl:lncRNA